rnacentral:rRNA from 1 species
UACGUAGGUGGCAAGCGUUGUCCGGAUUUACUGGGCGUAAAGGGCUCGUAGGCGGCCAACUAAGUCAAACGGUGAAAUCCCUCGGCUUAACCGGGGAGGUCGUCGGGGACGGGUGCGCUUGAGGACGGCAGGGGCAGGUGGAAUUCCCGGUGUAGUGGUGAAAUGCGUAGAGAUCGGGAGGAACACCCGUGGCGAAGGCGGCCUGCUGGGCCGAUCCUGAG